AGAUUGAACGCUGGCGGCAUGCCUAACACAUGCAAGUCGAACGGGAGUAGCAAUACUCUAGUGGCGGACGGGUGAGGAAUACGUAGGAAUUUGCCCUUAAGUGGGGGAUAACCCGGGGAAACCCGGAUUAAUACCGCAUGACCUCGAAAGAGCAAAGUGGGGGAUCGCAAGACCUCACGCUUUUGGAGAAGCCUACGUCGGAUUAGCUAGUUGGUGAGGUAAUGGCUCACCAAGGCGACGAUCCCGUAACUGGUCUGAGAGGAUGAUCAGUCACACCGGAACUGAGACCACGGUCCGGACUCC
rnacentral:rRNA from 1 species